UAUCGCUUUUCACGUUGUGCAUCGCGCUAGCUACGGAAGCCAUUAUAUACACACAGAUUUUUAUUGUCAGGCUGCUCUCUGCAAACAACAAAAGAAGGAAGUUAUCCCGUACAAUUUUGGAUUUUGAGGUGUAGGCGUAGGCGAGGGAUAUAAUCUUCAAGUCAUCUGGACUGAAUAAAUCCUGAAUAGCUAUAGCUGCAUGGUCAUUGAAAUACGGAAUCACAUACUCUGCAUUAACAGCGCUCAUGGAAAUUUUAAAUAUUUUUACAAAUUAUACAUUUCCAAAGGAUUCUAGAACGAUUUUGCAAACUCCAAAGCAUACAGAUAUUGUCACCAUGGGCGAUGAUGGCAUAUCAAUAUCAAGAUCCUCAAAAGGUUGUUUUUGGCCUAUCCUUGUAUCUAAAAACCUAUGUCGAAAAGUAUAUGUCGCAGGAAUAUAUUAUGGAUAUACAAAACCAAACGAUGCCAAUGAAUUUUUAAGACGAUUUGUAUCUGAUAUGAAACCUUGAAAAGCCAUACAGGAUUUUUUAGCUGCACAAAAUGUACUAUAAAAGCGAAAACAGUAUCAUAGAAUUUGAGGAUGGCCUGGCAAUAGUGUCUUCAUUUUGGUUGAACGACGAUGGAACCCAAUGUGCUUAUCCCACGUUUCGGGAUCCAAUAAAAAUAAAAAAAGCUGUUGUGUCUCAUAUGUCUCCCGAAGAUAACCCGAACUGGAAAACAUAUAAUGUAUCAAGGAUCUUCUGCAAAAUAAAUUUAUACGAAAGAGCAAAAGAAAAACUAUUCCUGGUUGAACAGUUUUCAGAUGUAACGGCUGAAGAAGGCAUAGAAGAUGACAUCAAAAGAUACGAAAGACAAAAACAAUCGAGGCAUAUGCGAACUAAAAAAAAAUAUUCUUCAUCAGAGGAGUGCGAAUUCGACUUUGAUAGAAGUCAGAAAGUAACAAAAUUACCACCUUUUCCGAAAAUUCCAGAACAAUUAUACGCCUCAAAAGAAAAAGAAAUGUACAAGUCAAAAGAUAUCUUCAUUGUCACAACCGAAACGAUCUAAAUCUGAAUGUCAAACAAAUCCUAUUUUACAUACAACUCCAUCCAAAGAAGCAACAUUAUGUACAUUCACAGAAUGGAAUUAUCAUGAUAAUGCAUCCGAUUAUAAUGACAAUGUGCAAGAUACAAUGAAUAAAACGCAUCAGAAUACAUCUAUGAAAAGCAAGAACAUAAUGGCAGAAAAUGAAUUUCAAAAAGAGAUUCUAAGGAAAUUGCAAUUAAUACUAUAUAAAAUAACUGCUGUAGAAAAUAGAAUAGUCAUGUUGGAAACAUCAAACAUGCGGCUGAUUAAUAAGGAGGCAGCCGAUGUUAUACAGUAUGAAGAAUAUAAUAUGCCACUGCAAAAUUUGGCGGCGUUGCAACAAUUGGAACAACUACAAGAAAACUUAUUUGCAAAUAAAAUGGUACAAACGCUGAAACAAACAGGUGGAGUAAACUUGUCGAAUAUAAUCCCGAAUAUUCUAAAAAAGAUACUAACAAGGGAACUGUCAGGGGUGUCCCUCACCGAUUUGAUUCUCCUUGAAAUAUGUUAUAAAACAAACAAAUCAAAGAGACACGUAUUUUUUUAUAUCGGCCCAAUCUCAUGUUUAAGGGAUGAAACAACCAUUUGAAAAAAAACGGUCUUUUUCUUUGAGAUCGAAUAUUGUCGAAACUAUAAGACACA
rnacentral:misc_RNA from 1 species